ensembl:lncRNA
CCUGAGACAACAUUAUUUUGGUCCUUAAAACACCUUCUGAGUUACAUCAAGCCAGCAUCAAGAGAAUACUAUACAGCCAGGCUAAUGCAGGAAUGUCGUGCAAAAUAUGUGCAAAAAACAUUACAUUUACAAUUUCUUAACAAAAGAAAAGGACACAUGUAACAACCAUUAUUGUCCUGGCAAAUGUAGAUAUUGUGCUUGAAAACUACAUUUGGUUUUGAAAAUAAAGUAAUACAAUUAAGAGUUAUGGCUUGCUUUCCCACCACUACUAUAAGUCAGUUAAGAAUGUGCAAAAUCCAAAAAUCACCUCCAAAUUUGAAAAUAGGGUAAACGGUUAGAGGUCUAUUAAACACAUCUGACAAAUGCUGACACUUAAAUGAAAAAGGCACAUGACCCUGAGAAAAAAAAAGAAAAAAAAAAUACACUACACUUGGUAGCGGCCCAUCACAGAACAUGCAGGUGACUGGUUCCAAUAAUCCUACUGAAAAAGCAGCAAUGGUCCAUAUUCCAAAACAAGAUGGUGAAACGGUUGUAUCCAUUUUGCCAUCAAAUGGCAACAGUUCACUGAUGGAGUCUGUUUUUGAGAGCCGGGGCUUUCUUUGACAGUGUGUUGCCGUCCAGCUCCAUCACAACCUUCUGGAGCACUUCGAACGAGUACUUAAGUUCAGGAGGGUAGUUGAGGUUCAAGGCAUACAUUAGGCAAAACAACAUGGCAGCAUAGUGAUAUAACUGAUCAUGUAUCGGUAUACAUGUUAGAAGCCCUGUUAGCGGCACAGCUUAUUAUAAGCACGAUUUGGGCUACAUCCGCCAUUGCACAGAAUUGUCAACAAAGCAGUUAGCGGCGCACAUUCUGACGUCAAACACAGCGGAUAAAGGCGUACACUCUGACGUCGCAAGGCAAAAAAACGGUUAUACUGUCCACACAACACUGCAACCGUCGUUUCUGAAAAUGCUCACCCUGGCCGGAGUUUUCAAAAAUGUUCGGUUUCUGUGCCCUGAAACUGCCUUUUCGUGUGGACUGAAGGCCGAACCGCGUAAAAAAAGUCACUGUUAUAAAAAUACCCGUGUUCGUGUGGACAGGGCCUAAGUCAAUGACGCGCGAAAAACUCCCAUGCUGGUAUAACCGAGCAGUUUAACAUUACCUUUUUCUCAGCUUUAGUUUAGAAAACAUGAGCAAGUUGCCCUCACUAGCAUAACGCGAGUAGAAACAUUAGCUAACCUUUGCAUUGCUCAUUUUUGCUAGUCAUUUAAAAAUCUCUGCUCGACGAAAAUAAUGCCUCGAACAGGACUAUCUUUAGCAUAACGUUAGCUAACGCUAGCGAGUAGCAACAUUAGCAUUACCAUUGACUAUCCAUGUAGCGAGUGGUAACGUUAGCUAACUUUGACUGACAUUGACUAAUUCCUGCUCGAUGUUAUACUGGCAGAUAAAAACCUCAGUUUAGUCAAAAUUGUGCGACUAACGGGAC